rnacentral:rRNA from 1 species
GUGUGAAUUGCAGAAUUCCGCGAAUCAUCGAGUUUUUGAACGCAACUUGCGCCCGAGGCUUCACCAAGGGCAUCUCUGCCAGAGCGUCACCGCGACACCCACCCGCCCCCCACUAAAAACUUGUGCGGGGUUCGGUGAAACUGGCCGUCCGAACGGGGGACUAUGCGCCCGCCGCGACCCGGGAGUUUCUUGCUCCUUGGCCGCUGCUCCACGUAUAUAUAUAUCCUCUCCUGUUGGGUUGGCUGAAAUCGAGGGAUUUGGGGCGCCCGUGGUCACACAGCGCGCGAUCAGGUGAUCGGUCCAAGCCUCAAAAACUUGGACCUUAACUUAAAAGUGCGCCGCUGUGUGGACAUCGUCCGGAAUAAUCCAAAGCAGGUCCCUCUCCCCCGCCGCCCCGGCGGCGGGGAGAGGAAAAAGAAUGUCACGCAUCAGACCUCUGAUCAGAGAAGACUACCCGCCGAG